CCCCCGAGGGGUCCCGGAUUGUGAGAGGGUGGUUCUCGGUUGAUGCACCCCGGAAUCGGGCUCCCUCCUCUCUG
rnacentral:pre_miRNA from 1 species